rnacentral:tRNA from 1 species
GGCGCCGUCGCCAAGUGGGAAGGCAGGGAUUUGCAAAAUCCUUAUUCGCAUGGUUCGAUUCCUGCCGGCGCCU